UUGCCAAAUAUUAAGUCAUAAAGAUUUACUCCUGUGUUUUAUUCUAAGAGUUUUAUAGUUUUGGCUCUUAUAUUUAAGUUUUUCCAGUCAUUGUUUGUUAUAUUUUUCAUUUGGAGUGAGGUAGGGAAGGUUCCAGCUUCAUUCUUUUGCAUUUCAUCAUCCAAUGGUCUUAUCAUCAUUUAUUGAAGAGAAUUUUUCCCCCAGAUUGAAUGGUCUAGGCACCCUUGAUCGAAGUAAAUUGGCCAUAGAUGUUUAGGUUUAUUUCUUGAUUUCAGUUUUAUUCCAUUGGUCUUGGUGUCUGUAUGCUGGUACGACACUGUUUUGAUUAUUAUACUUUGUAGUAAUUUUUGAAGUUGGAAAUUGAGUACUUGCUGAUACAGAAAUUAAGAAGAAAUUACUUAGGGAGAUAGUAAGCAUUUGGGAGUCCUUGGUAAGGUUUCUCUUUUUAAUGAAAAGCAGCCCCAAAUCAUUUUCUAACAAAUAGUAGCCUGUACAUUGAGCUGCACUGCUUCACCCUUAGUGCCAAUAUGGGUGACCUAAAACUCCACAGGAUGCCAGAGGUGCCAGGUCUGCAAAGUGUACCCUUCUUGUGGACUGUGCUGUGCCAGGACAGAGUGGCACACAUUAUUCUGGCUGUGGUAUCUGAUCCAUACCUCCUGAACCAUGCAACUUGCUUCACAGUGACCCCCAUGGCCUGGCCCCAGGAGUAAGCAGCUUCCUGCAGAUGGCUGUCUCCUUCACCUACCAACAUCUGGCACUCUUCACAGACACAGGUUACAUCUGAAUGGGGACGGCAUCACUCAAGGAGAAGCUGUGUGAGUUCAACUGCAACAUCUGGGCACCUCCAAAGCAGAUGAUUGGUUCAAUCAAGUGUGACAUUUACAUAGUAGGUGGGGAAGGCCGGCCACCCCACUCUAAUCUUAUUAUGCAAAUAGGACUUCCCACUUGACUUGUGCCAUUUUGUCUGCUCCUUAUGGUACACGUGGCUGCCAAAGGGAAGGGAUGAUAAAGCCGCCAUUUUGAACAUACCUAGUCACAGGUAGUUCUUUCUUACCCACGUUCACCCACACAAGUUUCCAGCUUGCUUGUCUAUGUCUGAUGCAGCUGUCCUCGUAGCAAGGAGAGGGCUGUGUUGGCGGCCUGGGAGAGGUGGCUGAUCAUGGUGGGCGAUGCACCUGAGAGCACCCAGUUUGUGCUGGACGAGGACUCCUACCUGGUACCUGAGCUCCAUGGUGUCUGCAUCUUCUCCCGCAGCACCCAUGAGUUUCUGCAUGAGGUUCCAGAGGCCAGCAAGGAGAUCUUCAAAAUUGCCUCAAUAGCCCCUGGGGCGCUGCUCCUGGAGGCUCAGAAGGAAUAUGAGAAAGAGAGCCAGAAGGCAGAUGAGUACCUGCGGGAGAUCCAGGAGCUGGGUCAGCUGACCCAGGCCGUGCAGCAGUGUAUUGAAGCUGCAGGACAUGAGUACCAGCCAGACAUGCGGAAAAGUCUGCUCGGGGCCGCCUCCUUCGGAAAGUGUUUCCUGGACAGAUUUCCACCCGACAGCUUCAUGCAAAUGUGUCAAGACCUGCAUGUGCUCAAUGCCAUUAGGGACUAUCACAUUGGGAUCCCACUCACCUAUAGCCAACACAAGCAGCUCACCAUCCAGGUGCUGCUGGACAGGCUUGUGUUAAGGAUCCCCUGUCAUCCAGAUAGGCAAGUACUUGCACUUUCCUGAAGUACAGGGCAUCAGCAGAAUCCUGGCCCUUUGGGCCUACAAGGUGCAACAGAAGGAUGUCUCAGAUGAGGAUGUGGCUCGAGCCAUUAACCAGAAGCUGGGGGACAUGCCUGGUGUCUCUUACUCUGACAUUGCUGCAUGAGCCUAUGGCUGUGGCCACACGGAACUGGCCAUCAACCUGCUGGAGUAUGAGCCAUGCUCAGGGGAUCAGAUACCCCUUCUCCUAAAGAUGAAGAGGAGCAAACUGGUGCUAAGCAAGGCCAUUGAGAGUGGGGACUGACCUGGUGUUCACAGUGUUGCUGCACCUGAAGAAUGAGCUGAACCGAGGAGAUUUUUUUUCAUGACUCUUCAGAAUCAGCCCAUGGCCCUGAGUUUGUACUGACCAUUCUGUAAGCAUCAAGAGCUAGAGAUGCUGAAGGACCUUUACAAUCACCAGGAAUUGGGCAGCUUCCACAUCUGAGCCAGCUAUGCUGCAGAAAAGCAGAUUGAGGACAGCCACCGAUGCCUUCUACAAGGCCUAGAAUGAGUUUGCAGCCAAGGCUACAGAGGAUCAAAUGCAGCUCCUAUGGCUAUGGCGGAGCUUAGAAUACAAGCUAGGGGGCCAGUUCCUACACCUGUCUCUGUAUAACAUUUUUACCGCCCUCAUUCUUGGUGGUUGCAACAAGCGUGCAGAGCAGCUGGCACGUGACUUCCGCAUCCCUGUCAAGAGGCUCUGGUGGCUGAAGCUGACUGUCCUGGCAGAUUUGGAAGACUGGGAAGACCUAGAGAAGUUUUCCAAGAGCAAUAAAUCACCCACUGGCUACCUGCCUUUUGUGGAGAUCUGCAUGAAACAACACAACAAAAUCAAGAAGUAUGCUUCCCAUGUGGGUCCUGAGCAGAAGGUCAAGGCUUUGCUUCUCAUUGGCGAUGUGGCUCAGGUUGCAGAUGUGGCCAUCGAACACCUGAACGAGGUUGAGCUAAGCCUCGUAUUGUCCCACUGCAUGGAAGCCACAGAUGGGGCCAUGGCUGACAAGAUUCAAUGGGCCAGUGCACAAGCCCAGAAGUGAUGAGUCCACCCUGCACAUCUCAAGCAAGUGGUUCCUCCUAGCACCUGGGCUUGGCAGAAGGGUCAUAGUUCAUCCAGCUCUUCCCCCAGAGCAAUGCUGAGGAGGCAUGGGGAGGGGGUGGGUGGUAGCAGGGCUGUCUGGUUGUAAAUAACGUUGGAACACUU